GAAAAUCCUGUAAAAGAAGGGUUUAAUUCGAUUUUUGCCUGUGAGAGUAAAGAAGCAGCAAUCGAAUACUAUAAAGAAUUUAAAAAACAAAUUGAACAAAAGAAGCUACCAAUUAAAAUUGCAAGCAUUAUAGCGCAAACGAAGGUAGUGAUGAACAAGAAAUUAGUGUAAAAGGUCUUGAUAAAUCCUCAAAGAGUUUUCUAAGUCAAAUCAUUUCUGAUUACAACGAAACCUUUCAAACAAACUUUAGCAUUAACAAUCUAGAUGAAUAUUACAAAAAUGUUUCUGAUAGAUUAAAGCCAAAAAAGACAAAAAAUUUAGAUGGUGAAAAUAAAAACACAAAUGGCUGAGAAAUCGACAUUUUAAUUGUUGUUAACAUGUUCUUAACUGGUUUUGAUGCACCAACCCUUAAUACACUUUGAGUAGAUAAGAAUUUAAGCGAACACACUUUAAUCCAAGCUUU
rnacentral:sRNA from 1 species